rnacentral:lncRNA from 9 species
GGACAAGCACAGGUCAGGAACAUAGCUUUCCUAUUGUUCUCAGGCUGGAAGAUCCAAGCCCCUCGCAUCUCUUCUGAAUCCAGAGGUGAAGAGUGAGGAUGGAAUUCUGUGAUGAUCCUGCACUUAAAGGACUAUUUAUUAAGGAAGAAGAGCUGCCAGUGGAAUUGGAAAAAGAGCAAUUGAAAGUGGGAGGAGAGACCAUCGUCGUGUAUGAAACGGUCAGAGUGAAAAUAAUUACAGGCAGCGGAAAGCAUGAGGGUAUGUUUCCCUUCAGAACAUCCUCUUGAUCUCACCCCCUAAAGAGUGAAUUGCAUGUAUCCAGGUAUGAAAAUGAAAUACAUUAAGAAUUUUUAAAAGAAUAAAUAGGCAGGAAGGAUAUGUUUAAGAAUAUAUUUUAGAUUGAGUUAUAUUUCCUAAGUGCCUUUAUUAGAACCUAUUUCACAAAAUCCUUUCCUUCCUUAAAAAAUCCUUUCCGAAGAGUCUAUGCACCUUUUCCUCUUAGAUUUGCCAAGCUAAAUAGCUAGAAAGUAUUUCCUUUUCAAAAUCCAAGGAACAUGCAAUCCUCUUUAUAAUUAAAAAAAAAAAAGAUGUAUUAGGGUUUCCAAUCCCUCACCCUUUCCUUUCAUUUUAGGCAGGAAAGCUAUAUAUGUAUAUGCACACACGGAUUUAUGAAAGCGGUGUACACGCUGUAAUGGAAAUGGAGCACUGGCCUUCAAAAGAGAAACCGUCCCUAUGAAAAAGAUAAAUUUACAAAAAGAAACUCUUUUCCAGCAAGAGUUCGGGGAUGAGACCGUCUCAUCACAAGUUUAAAUACAUUAAAGAAUUUUAUUUGCCAUCUGAGCUGCUAUUUCAAAGCCAAAAUGUGAGCCCAUUGUGGGAAUUGUAGCAACAACUGAACUUUGCUGACUUCUGAAAGGGGAUUCUGGGUCUUCCUAGGCCUUUUGAAGUUCCAUUUUGCUUUGUCUUCAGAUGCCUGGACAUAAUCAGCCCAUUGAGGCCUUGAGCUGUCUCAUGAACGCAAGCAUUUGCUCACAAUUCACUAUCAGGGCUGGAGACAAGGAGAGGUUCAGAUCCCUUUGACACCAGGGCGCCUGGUCAGAAGUUCUCAGAUGGGCAGCAGUGUGAACUUUCAGCGGAACUGCUGCCCAGUGGGACGCCCGUCCUUUCAAUCUCCAUUGGCUCAGGUCUUCAAAGGCUGGGGGCAUCUGUGUGGCUGACCUGACACAUCUCUUUCCCAUGGGAUGGUAUGGGUGGAGGGGAUUGAAAUGACUUACCUUCGUUUCUCAAGUUUGAGUCAGAGCAUGUGUGAGACCCCCAAAGAUCAAACAACCCCCCCCCAGUUGCCCCCUCGUUGCAGCGGUCACUGAAGGAGCAUCUUCUUGUGCACACACACUUACAUGAGUGCAAACACUGUCCUUCAAUCAUUAUAACAGCCGUGUAGGCAAUUUAAGAUGAGGGCACUGAGUGAAUUCACUCAAGAACACACAACUAGCAGGAGAGCUGGGAUUUGAACUCAGGUAGCUCUGUCUUCCUAUCCAUUCCCUGCUAUAGUGCCCAAGGCUAGGGAAUAAAGUCAGAGACCUAGCUAUGUAGAGAGUACUGCUGAUGAUAGCUCCCCCUGUAUCAGGCACUAUAUCAAGCUUUACAAACACUUGGUAUAAUUAUAUAGAGACAGAUAUUCAUAUAGAUGUAAGGACAUAGAUAAAUGAU